rnacentral:rRNA from 1 species
CAGGCCUAACACAUGCAAGUCGAACGAUGUCUUUCGGGGCAUAGUGGCGCACGGGUGCGUAACGCGUGGGAAUCUGCCCUUGGGUUCGGAAUAACCGUUGGAAACGACGGCUAAUACCGGAUGAUGUCGAUAAGACCAAAGAUUUAUCGCCUGAGGAUGAGCCCGCGUAGGAUUAGCUAGUUGGUGUGGUAAGAGCGCACCAAGGCGACGAUCCUUAGCUGGUCUGAGAGGAUGAUCAGCCACACUGGGACUGAGACACGGCCCAGACUCCUACGGGAGGCAGCAGUGGGGAAUAUUGGACAAUGGGCGCAAGCCUGAUCCAGCAAUGCCGCGUGAGUGAUGAAGGCCUUAGGGUUGUAAAGCUCUUUUACCCGGGAUGAUAAUGACAGUACCGGGAGAAUAAGCUCCGGCUAACUCCGUGCCAGCAGCCGCGGUAAU